AUUGAACGCUGGCGGCAGGCCUAACACAUGCAAGUCGAACGGUAACAGGAAGAAGCUUGCUUCUUUGCUGACGAGUGGCGGACGGGUGAGUAAUGUCUGGGAAACUGCCUGAUGGAGGGGGAUAACUACUGGAAACGGUAGCUAAUACCGCAUAACGUCGCAAGACCAAAGAGGGGGACCUUCGGGCCUCUUGCCAUCGGAUGUGCCCAGAUGGGAUUAGCUAGUAGGUGGGGUAACGGCUCACCUAGGCGACGAUCCCUAGCUGGUCUGAGGGGAUGACCAGCCACACUGGAACUGAGACACGGUCCAGACUCCUACGGGAGGCAGCAGUGGGGAAUAUUGCACAAUGGGCGCAAGCCUGAUGCAGCCAUGCCGCGUGUAUGAAGAAGGCCUUCGGGUUGUAAAGUACUUUCAGCGGGGAGGAAGGGAGUAAAGUUAAUACCCUUGCUCAUUGACGUUACCCGCAGAAGAAGCACCGGCUAACUCCGUG
rnacentral:rRNA from 1 species